rnacentral:rRNA from 1 species
CUGGUGUUCGGGUUGUCAUGCCAAUGGCACUGCCCGGUAGCUAAAUGCGGAAGAGAUAAGUGCUGAAAGCAUCUAAGCACGAAACUUGCCCCGAGAUGAGUUCUCCCUGAGACUUUGAGUCUCCUGAAGGAACGUUGAAGACGACGACGUUGAUAGGCCGGGUGUGUAAGCGCAGCGAUGCGUUGAGCUAACCGGUACUAAUGAACCGUGAGGCUUAACCUUACAACGCCGAAGCUGUU